rnacentral:tRNA from 1 species
GGAAGGGUGCGAGAGUGGUUGAAUCGGCCGGUCUCGAAAACCGGUGUGGCCUCCGGGCUACCGUGGGUUCGAAUCCCACCCCUUCCG